rnacentral:lncRNA from 1 species
GCUCCUGUCUACUCCCCCAGCACCCAGACUCACCUUAUAUUCCUGAGUGGACUGAUGUUCAUGAACAUGAGCUUAUAAAUGUGUUGUUUAUCAUGAAGUAUCACGGACUCUCGUUAAAUCUUCGCUUUGUUCUAUACCUAUUAUCCUUAGGUGUCGUCUUCUUAUUGUGUCCUGGAUGUUUUGUCUUACUUUUCUACGUGGGAAUUUAGAACGUCUGUUUCCUGUGUCUCUCAAGAGAUGGAGAAAAGGCCCAUCUCUGUGGGUGUUGACCCAUGGGAGCAGAGAGUAUCCUGACAAGGACUGAGAGGUUAAGGAAGGAGCCAGGCUCAAGCUUCAAGGGGACAUAUGCCUGAACAACAAUGCAACUCUGGAUACAAGUGCCUGUGCCCUUCCUCGAGUUGAUGGAAUUUAGCUACUAGAUAUAUGCUCCAUCAGCUUACAGGAGCUCCAACCAUGAUGUCCUGGUCAUGCUGGUCAAGAACGGUUCCCUCAUCCCAAUCCCUGACUUGGGCUUGCAACAUGUCCUAGAACCUGGACCACUAGCACCAGCAGAUGCUGUAACAAAAUUCCUGAACAGGAUGCAAAAGUGUUUCAGCUGAGCCUUGAGAGGUGAACGUACCUUGGCACCUGUCCCCUGGAUGGGACAACUUGAGGAAGGGCCAUCCAUAUUCCUGUUCCCUACCCAGGACACUGCUAAUGUGCAUAUGAGGGGAACACAAGACCCCAACCUGCUGCAGGAUGGAGAGCAGAGACAACUGAAGCCUUCUCCAUAACACUUGUGCAUUCCUUCUGCAGGCUUCAAAAGACUAAUCUGUGAUUUUAGACACAGGACAGGAGGAGACUGAGACCUCCAUUGCCUCCAUAUCCUAUAUCCCUUAGUGUCACAUUCAACCGGGAUGUGUUCCAAUCUCAUCUUGCAUAGCAUCUUCUGUAUGAAGAUCCCCAUGCCCUGAGCUUUCAUCCUUGUAUGAAAAAUUUCACAAGUCAGAUUUCUUACAUUUACGUAAGUUGUGCUGGAAUCUGAGUCUCUUUCACUUUUUUUUUCUGUCAUUUGUACAUCCUGGAGAUAGUUAUGUAGAAUAAGGACAAGGAAUGAGAAUACCCAGGAGUGAGGCAUCUCUCUUAUGACUUCCCACUCACAAUAGGACUCUAAUGCUCAAGGACCAUAGUGUAAGGACAGAGCACUGAACGUGAGCCAGGGGAAUGGAGGGGCCUCAUCUCUCCAUUUACACUUUCAUUGCUCUUUCCUCCAUUCCUGUCAUUUCCCCUUACAAUAGUGUAAGGGCCACAGGAGCUGUUAUCUGAGAGAGAUUUGUAUCUGGGAGAAUUGAAGCUACCUGCUGUUACAUGGAUCUGGGAGUCCUCCAUAUAGGUGCACAGCAUCAGUUUGAUGUAUUGAACAACACUCCCAUGUACAGCACCCAUUACAGGACAAACAGAACAAAAUACUAUAAUUUGUCAGUACACCUGUCUUUCUAUGGAAUGUGGAGUAAAGUUUGUCAACAGCAGUGUGUUGCUCCAUUGUGUGUGAACCACGUGUUUGCUCACCUUUGGGAUGUUCCCUUAGGUCUCAGCUGAUGGUGAUAGUGGGUACUCUGUGAAUAAUGGGAAUAGUAGGAAAAGCAGCCGCUCCUUAGCAUACAUCCCAAUGCUCAUGUCCAUUGCUGUGUCCAUGGAGCUGGUGCUCAUCCACAAGUCCAUAAAGCUACUCUUCAGAAGGAGAGAAUUCCCCUUCUUCUGAAACCCAAUGCAGCUCUCAGGACACUGAGUCCUAAAGCUCAGUUUGAGAUGUGUCAGGAGGGCACUGGGCACAUCACACUGCUGUGGCCUCCUCAUCACAAAGGGAUCCUGGCAGUAGAGAGGCUGCCACAUCCACUUUCCAGCCUCCAACCAAGCAGCACUUCCUGUGUCCCUUCCCUGCUCCCUCCUUCCAAAUACUGCUUAUGAAUCAGUCAGAAAUAGAUCCUGUCCAUAAUUUGUUCCUUCUUUCUGAGCCCCAGUAAUCUCUUUGUAGUCAUAUAUUUUUCACAACUUACUUUAAUAUAGUUCAACCUCCUCUCUGGCCUACCACCCACAAGAGGUAGUGGAAAAUGAAGGGCAUUUGGAUAUGGGGAAGUGGAACUGUUCAUAAAUAGUUCUUUAGGGAAUUUUCUGUCCUAGUACCUGUUCAGGCACCAACUGCCACACACUAAUCCAUUUUAUGGGUCUCCGAUCUUCGAUCUUCGAGGAAUGGGUCUCUGGUUGCAGGUGGGUGAAGGAGUCGAAUGACAAACAGACAUGACAUGAGAGAGUGUGUUGAAUCUGAGUGUAUUGUCCAAACGAACACCAGACUUUUAUAUACAGAAGAAAAACAAGAAAGCCAGGCAGGACACAUCCACAGAGUUACAGUGACACAAAACAAAAGGAAUGUAUACAACAAAAGAUGGCAGGGACCAGCAGCUGUUUACCACUAAGAAGGGAGGCAGGUGUAAUGCUAGUCUAUUGUUAAGCCCACCAUCAGGGGUUCUUAGUAAAUGCCUGAUUAUGCUGUUCCAACUCUUUCAUGGUUAACCUCUACCUAUUUGCUAGGCCAUUGUGUGUUCCCUUGUUUGGGUGAGACUCGGCUACUGUCCUAAGUAAUCACUCUGCAGACUAGCCCUGAGCUAUUGUAACUCUGAUCUUUGUAAUGCCUAACUAAUUUGACCAUCUCUACUAGAAAUAGAUUUGAAUGUUACUGAAUAGGUAACAUUCUCACUGAAUUCCUACUGAAUUCCAAGCUCAUUGGCUUCAAGGAUUUUCUAGGAUGUUGGAACACUGGUAGAGGCUCACCUAUGUUAAAAUUCAAUCUUUAAAGGCACUUAUAAUAAAACAAUAUUGAAAGAGAGCAUACCCCAUAUUCGGGGAUAGGGUUUGAGUAUACGGGGUAUGAGAAUGCCAAAGUUUCAGGAAGCUGAGUUUCCUUGAUACUCUUGGCCUCCUCGUGACUGCCUCCAGGCCUUUUGACCUUGACAGGCAGACUUCACUGGAGUAGGCGUAGCAUUCGUUGUUCUCAGUCUAGUUUGCUAACAAACACCAAACAAGAGUCAGCAGCUGCAGUCUAGUCUGUUGAGCAGAUACCACACAUGAAUCAGGAAGGGCAGUUCAAUCCAAAACAAACCAGGUCAACAAAUACACCUUAAUGAUGUGUUGACUGUAGAAUGGAACAUGCAAAAGUUUCACGGUGGGGGUGUGGUCUUAGUUAUGUAUGUACAUGGAAUGAAAAAAAUAUGCCUACUAGAAAAACUUUUAAGGAUUAUAUCAAAUCCGGGAAGUUCUCUUAUCAUUAGAGACAUGGAGGUCUUCACAAAGCAAAUUGCCCAAGUGAUUCACAGACUGUCUCAAUAUCUGAUUUUUAAACAAUUCAUGGAAAUCAAUUUCAAAAGGGUUAGCGCAAGCUCUUGAUCACACACACAUACUGGAUAAACACAGAGAUUGGUCAAUAUAUAGACUGAUACAAUACAGAAACUGGAUAAACACAGAAUCUGGGAAAUAAAUGUUACAGGCAGUCUUUUUUAGACUAAUCUUUUUUUUUGGGGGGGGGGGGGUGGACACAAACAACAGACAAUACAGAUACUGGAUAAACCUAGAGAUUGGGCAAUAAAUGCUACAGCUAGCUUUAUUCAGACUAACCAUAUUUUCCCCUUGGGGCCCAAAACAGGAACCCUUUGACCCAAUACAGCAGGAGUAGAAGACUAAAUCGCUUAAGUUGAGUUCUGGAGCAUGAACACAGAGUUUUUAGCAUGACAGGCAAAACACUCGACACCUGAGAUAUACAAGGAACCAGAAUGUCCAACAUGAGGAGUAUGAUCCAUCGAUGUCUUGUGAUCUUGUUCCUGUGACUCAUUGUCCAAGAGCUGGAUCCUUCGAGUGAGGCAGCACACACUCCCGCAAGUGAUGCUGUGUACUACUAGUCUCUGUAGGGAUGGUGUAACUGGACAACCAUGGACCUGGUGUUGGAGCACAAUAACCUACAGAGCUGCUGGUAGAAUGCAGAGGGAACUGGAGCACUCUCCAUGACUCUUCGGCUCUGUGUCACAUGCUCAGGCACCUGCCUGCCAAUGAUGAUGGAGAAACUCCCAAACUCUGUGUUGAACCAUGGGGAUCAGGGAGUAUCCUGACAAGGACUGAGAGUUUCAAGAAGAGCCAGGCUCAAGCUUCAAGGGGACAUACGCCUGACCACCCACCAGCCAACAAUGCAACUCUGGAUACAAGUGCCUGUGCCCUUCCUCCAGUUGCUGGAUCUAUGCUCCAUCAGCUUUCAGGAGCUCCAGCUAUGAAGUCCUGGUCAAGCCAGUCAAGAAUGGUUCAAUGAUCCCAGAUCCUGACUUUUGUUUGCAACAGGUACUGGAACUUGGACCACCACCAACAGGAGCACAAGAAUCCAACCAGCUGCAGGGUGGAGAGCAGAGACAACUGGAGACUUCCCCAUAAAACUUGUACAUUCCUUCUUCAGGCUUCCAAUGCCUAAUCUGUGAUUCUAGACACAGGACAGGAGGAGACUGAGAGAACUCCAUAGAGUGAAACUCUCCAAAAAAUUUCUGGUGACAUGCUGUGCUAUGUUUCUUGCUUUUUUGAGGACUCCAGCCAAUUAGCAGAGUGAUGUCAGCUGAGACAGACUCAAGAGCUGAGGCAAGACACACGGUGAGGCAAAACUCAGGGAGGACAUGCAAUGAUUGGACGGAGUGUAAUUUGACUCAAUGGACUGUGUUUCUGCAGAUAAACUCUUCUUGGUCUUGUGUCUUCACUGACUUUCACUCAGUCCAGAGAGGUUCAGCUGCUCCUGCCAUACCUUCUGGUUCGCAUCCCUCCUGCUGACUCAUGAUGGUUCUAUGGAGGCCUAGCGUUUCACGGUGGGGGUGUGGUCUUAGUUAUGUAUGUACAUGGAAUGAAAAAAUAUGCUUACCAGCAAAACUUUUAAGGAUUAUAUCAAAUCCGGGAAGUUCUCUUAUCAUCAGAGACAUAGAAGUCUUCACAAAGCAAAUUGCCCAAAUGAUUUACAGACUGUGUCAAUAUCUGAUUUUUAAACAAUUCAUGGAAAUCAAUUUCAAAAUGGUUAGCUCAAGCUCUUGAUCAUACACACAUACUAGAUAAACAAAGAGAUUGGUCAAUAUAUAGACUGAUACAACACAGAAACUGGAUACAGGCAGAAUCUGGGAAAUAAAUGUUACAGGCAGUCUUUUUUAGACUGAUCUUUUUUUUUUUGGGGGGGGGGUGGACACAAACAACAGACAAUACAGAUACUGGAUAAACCCAGAGAUUGGGCAAUAAAUGCUACAUCUAGCUUUAUUCAGACUAACCAUAUUUUCCCCUUGGGGCCCAAAACAGGAACCCUUUGACCCAAUACAGCAGGAGUAGAAGUCUAAAUCGCUUAAGUUGAGGUGGGUAGUUUUAGUCACUGGAUGUUAUUGUUGUUAUUAUAUAGGGUUGGAGAGGGUUUGUUUGAAUUAUUGUAUAUUAAUAGAAAUUUAAGGUUGUUGUUUAAUUAUUGUAUUCUCUAUUGAAAGAAAUGUAAGGUUUUUAUUUAGUCAUUUUAUAUCCAUAGGGAUUUAAGCUUGUUUUGUUAGCCUAUUUUUUGACUGUAUUGUAUAUAAAAAGUACUUUAAUAAAAUGUGAUGGUUCUUAUAUCUAUUAUGAAUAAAUUGAUAAU